GAGGCGAAAUGCAGAAACCUCUAACCUUCUCAGGUUCUUCCGUCGAUCUCUGGAUCAAACGUCAUUCUCUUCCAUUAUUUUGGUUUAUUAAUAUCUUCUUGUCAUGUCCAAAGCGAGAUGGAGAAAGUAGAAAUUACGGUUUCAAUCUUUAUUACAUGACAAAUCUGAAUCGAUGGCGAUUGAUGGAUUUCAAAGAAAUUAAGGGUUCAGUAGAUAGAUGGGUUCGGUGAAAAGGGUAUUGUUUCCUCAUUACUUCAAGUGAUUCAGAUGUAAGAGAGGGGUGUUGUGAUCGAUAUAUUCUGAUGCUCUGAAGAACAUAGGGUUAGAAUUCAUAUUUCUGCUGCUGAUUCAUGGCGACAAAGAGAUAAAGAACUGAAGAUUAGAUAGGGAUUUUGUUGGUGAUUGAGUUAAAAAGAUGGGUUCAAUUGAUUUUAGGGGUUUCAACUGAUUUGAUUUCAACAAUUGAUGAUGAUUUAGGUUUGUAAAAGAUGGAUCUGUGGUGACUUAUGAUAAAAAUAAUUGGUAGUUUUAGGUUUGCAAUUUGGUCAUUGUCAUAUCAGGAUGGAGAAGAUUAAUGUAGUCAUGGGUUAAGUUUAGGUGAACUUGUGAGAUAAUUUAGUGUUGGCUUUACAGAGAAUGGUUUGAAUUUUGGAGACGGGUUUGUGGAGGUUUGAUUCAGUUCAAUUUUGUGCGUACCUGUCUUAUCAGUUAUUGUAAGUUUAGUCAUUUGAACACUUAAGUUGCCUAGUGCUAUUAAUUGCUAAGACGGUCCUUGCGUUCUCGAAUUGUAUGCAUAAGGAUGCAAAGAACAAAAACAUUGAAAUAAUGGGGAACACUCUUUACAAGGCAUACCUCAAGGAUUUCUUUAAUUUCUGCCAGGACCAAUUGCAUUGAUUGCCUGGUAGAAUCUACAUGAAAGACAAGAGCAUAACUUCAGGUUGAACUGGGCUUCUUUAGUCUCGAGAGAUAUAACCAUCGGGAUGAUGGUGCUGAUUUCAACUGGUUUCUCUCGCGGUUUCAGUUAUGUAACUUUUGCAGAGAUUGAGGAUGCGAAGAAUUCUGGAAGUAAAAGUUUCCACCCAAAGGUUGUAGUGCUAAAGAUGCUUUAAGCUACACUCUCUCGAAGUUGCUUACCAGCACUAUUCUCUUGAAGUUUUUUGAAGAGUUAAUAGCCUACUUGUUACUGUGAAAUGAGACCACAUUCUAAGAAAGUAAUAAGGAUUUUUGUGGCCAGAAUCUCACAGACUGUAACAGAAGCAAUAUUUUGUAGUUUUUUUGAAACCUUGCAAGAUAACACGUAUACAUUCCCAAGGAUCAAGGCUCAAAACUUCAUCGUGGAAUUGGGUUCAUUACUUAUGAAACUACAGUUUGAGCCCAUAUAAAUGUUAAAAGAGUGGUGCUGUUAUGUUGCUGAUGGCUGAGUUAUGGUGGUUGUUUGGCUAUGAAUUACUGGGAAUAGCAGAAUGAGUUGCAUCUGGGAUUGCAACUAUACGAACAUUGCAGGGAAGUGAUUGAAGCUGCAGAAUGGAUGUGGUGAUGUUGUUGCAACUAGAUGAACAAUGAAGGAUGGUGCUCUAAAUGGAAUUGUGGAGUUGCUGCUAUGAGAUGGAUGGAGGAUAUAUGAAGGAUAAGGAAAUGGUGGUUCUGCUGAGAAGGGUCUAGAAUUAGGCAUUGCCUGGCCUACAGGGUUGCAGCUCACUGGACACUGAACACUGGUAUGCAGUUAUGAGAUAAUGAACUCCCCUGAAAGGUCCUGCCACCUUGCAAAGAGUGCUUUUAAAGAAGAUAUAAUAAAGCUGGAUACUUGAGUAAAGAAUCUUAUAAAGACAGUACUUGGAUUAUGCAACUAUUAAGGGAUAAAGAUGAAAUUGCCAAGUGUUUUUUGAAUGAUGCUCUUUUUGAUUGGAAAAGCUGGAGAAGAAGCAGUUAUAAGGUCCCUUAGCAGCUUAAAGUUUUGUAAGUUCUAUGUAGACAGUUAGUAAGUUUCUAUGUAUUCCCUUAGAAAUUUGAUAAUUAACAAAAAAAAAUGGUACUUGGGAAAAUUUCAGUUUCUUUUUUUAUAUGAACCUGAUAUGAAUGUAUUGAAUGUGUGAAAUGAAUGUGAAAUAUUGAAUUAAUUGAA